rnacentral:rRNA from 1 species
UACGUAGGGGGCAAGCGUUGUCCGGAUUUAUUGGGCGUAAAGAGCGUGUAGGCGGCUUGGUAGGUCCGCUGUGAAAACUCGAGGCUCAACCUCGAGAUGUCGGCGGAAACCAUCUGGCUAGAGUCCGGAAGAGGAGAGUGGAAUUCCUGGUGUAGCGGUGAAAUGCGCAGAUAUCAGGAAGAACACCCGUGGCGAAGGCGGCUCUCUGGGACGGUACUGACGCUGAGACGCGAAAGCGUGGGGAGCGAACAGG